UCGGCUAAGCUGUAGCGUUAGCUAGCUUAUUUAGCUAGUUUAGUUAGCUGUGUAGUUAGCUAGUGCUUCCCUCCAAUGGAGGUCACAGAAAGAUAGAGAAAAUAGUUCCUACAUUAAACAUCUCACAGAAAGGCUUGUGGUCCAGCCCCUGCAGAGUAACACCUCCCCCUGUAGGAUGAAGGCAGGACUUCAGCCUGGAAACCUCAAACACCUGGCUGUAUCUCUAAGGCGAGCCACAGCACAGGUUUUGAGUGUAUCUUCUUUCUUUUAAAAAAUUUUCUUUGAUUUUAGUGAAGACAGAAAUUGUCAUGAUUUCUGCAGUGUGUUCAAGACAACUCUGGAGAAAGAUGCAUCUGCCUCUCGUGUUCCGGUUUGCAUCCUAUAGACAUCCCUAAUAUGGCAUCAGCCACAUCUGAUUGGUGUGGCAAGCUGCAAGUAGCAUGUCCAGUGUUAGAAUGCAUAUUUUUAUUAUUAAACAAUAUUUAAUGCAACUUUGUACCUUUGGGACAGCUUUUAUAUACUUUUCAGUGGCUGCCUAAAAGCAAUUUAAAACACCAUAUCUUUUAUGACAAUCAGCAAAGGAAACAUGAUCCUACCCAAUGACAGGUAGAUAGUCUGCGUGUGUUGACAGCAGAUGAUUUCUGUAACUUUAAGCACAUAAUAAUAAUAAUUAUUAUUAUUAUAGGGAAGAAAAAAUGGUGUUGCUGAGUCAUCUAAGCAUCAAGGGCACUCCCAGAAAUUUAGUUCAGGCAGGCUGGAAUGUGAAAUGAAAAGUUGCAAUUUGUUUGCAAUUCAGAUAUGAAACAUCCUUGUCAACAUCCAGCAUGACAUGUUAUCCUUUAUGUCAUGCCUUUAAUUGACUGAUUGAUUCACAUCAUGGGCCACACUGAUUAUCUGAUGUCUUUGGCAUUUCUUUGGGAUUAAGAUUAAUUAACCUCUUUAAUGUUACACACCUGUCCACACCUUGUAAAUUAUAUGAACCUCCCAGCUAGUUAAUAUAACACGAAACACAGGCAGACAGACAAAUACAGAUAGAUAGAUAGAUAGAUAGAUAGAUAGAUAGAUAGAUAGA